UAGGUGGCAAGCGUUGUCCGGAUUUACUGGGCGUAAAGAGCGCGCAGGCGGUCGUUCAAGUCGCGUGUGAAAGCCCCCGGCUCAACUGGGGAGGGUCACGCGAUACUGAUCGACUCGAAGGCAGGAGAGGGUAGUGGAAUUCCCGGUGUAGUGGUGAAAUGCGUAGAUAUCGGGAGGAACACCAGUGGCGAAGGCGACUACCUGGCCUGUUCUUGACGCUGAGGCGCGAAAGCUAGGGGAGCAAACGGG
rnacentral:rRNA from 1 species